GCUAAUUUAAAGGUGAAUGAUCUAUACUGGUUCUGAUAAAGACAGAGGAAAGUUAGCAGAAGCUACUGAGUUCAGCACUGAGUGUGGAAGAACACAAAGCGCCAGGCAAAAAAUAAGGCACUACUCCUCAAGUUUAUGUUGAGGUUGUUUUAACAGUGUAUAAAAAUACAAAUAUUCCAGGGCUGAGUGAAGGGCCAGAGAAAUUGCAUCUGCUGUGGACCUGUUGUGCCAAUAGGCAAAUUAGAGUGGAUCCAAGUCGUUUCUCAGGCAGGAGUUGAUGUGUUCCAUCACCAACCUCUCAAAACACUUCAUGACAGUGGACAAGCUGCCUGAUCUGCGGAGUUGCUUCAUUACUCUGGAAGAUUCAUUAGACCCUUGCAGUUCACAUUACACUUUUAGAAAUCUGGAUUUAAGAUAAUGAUGCAGAAACUGACUGUGCUGAUGAAUGCAAUGUUGGACUGUGCUGUUAGAAGAUAUGAAUGGACAAGAUAUGUGAACUCAGAAGUACACAUAGAAAUUAAUCUGGAAAAUUGUGAAGUAUUGGAGAGGACAGUAAGCCAAAUAGUAGCAUACUGAGAAGUGAGAACUGUAGAUAAAUAGAGUGAUCUUGAAGUCUAUACCAAAUACUGAACACAAAAUACUCUGCAGAUGCUGGGACCAAAGGUAGUCUCCAGACCCUUGGCACGAACAUUGAAUUCUCCAACUUCUGGUGAUUCCAUUCCCCUCCCUUCCCCUAUCCCAGUUUUACUCUACCUCCUCCUCCAGCUGCCUAUCACCUCCCUCAUGGUUCCGCCUCCUACUACCACCCAUAGUGCUUUCCCCUUAUAUUCCUUCUUCACCUUUCCUGCCUAUCCCCUCCCCCACCCCUUGAUCUUUCCCCUUACUGAUUUUUCACCUGGCACCUACCAGCCUUCUCCUUCCCACCCUCCCCCACCUUCUUUUUAGGGCACCUGCUCCGUCCCUCUUCAUUACUGACGAAGGGUCUCGGCCCGAAACGUUGACUGUUUGUUUCCACUGAUGCUGCCCGCCUUGCUGAGUUCCUCCAGCGUGUUGUAUGUGUUGCCAAAUAGUGACGUUGUUGGGUAUGUAGCUUUUGUAGUUAGGAAGGUAGUUGAGAUACUCUUUGGCUGUAGCACAGCAAGUAAGCACAAAGUACAUAAAAGACUAGUUAACCCACAUUUAAAAUACUGUGGACAAUUCUGAUCUUAACAACGCUGGAAAGAUGGAAUCAUGGGAGAGAAAAUAUGGUGGUACAGAGGAGGUAUAACCGGAUGUUACAAGGACAGAACAUUCAUUAUGAGGAAAGAUUGCUUCGGUUGAGGAUGGUUUCAUCAGAACAAUGCAAACUGAAGGAGUUCUAAGUGAAAUUCUGAAGAUUGUGACAUUAUUGAGUGAACUGUAAUGCUAUGUUUUCCUUCAUUGUGGGAAGAAAAUCUGUGGGAUAAGCUGUGGAGAGUUUGGAGUGGUGUUGAGGAAAGUUCCUUUCACCCAAAGAUUGGUGGGGGUCUAUAGUUCAGCAUCUGACAGAUGCUGAAGAUAGAAAUAUAGACAAUUGCUUACAUUCCUGCUUUGCUAUAAUCCACAAGGCUACAGACUGAGAGUAGAAGUCAGAAGAGCUCUUUUUUGACUGACCUUGACAUAGUUGGUUAAGCAAUCUCCUUCUGUCCCAUGAAUGUCUAUGAUUCCUAUCAAGGCAAAACUGGAUGGGAGCAGGUAUGGUUGGGAUGUAUUAGACGGUAAGACAGGACAGAGGUUAUGAGAAAACCUUGAGGAACCUUCUAUUAGUAGAACAGUUGAAACUCAGUUGAAAUAUACUGCAUUCAAGUAAUGUAAAAAGCUUUGCCAAAAGCAAUCAUGGUCAAGUACCAUGAUAACCCACAUCAUACAACACGGCACAUAAUGAAUGGAAAGAAUGUAAAAAAUGACCAAGUACUUGCAAGUAAAAUUGAAUGUCGAAUUAUGGUGCAGAGCCACCUAGUGGGUAGUGAGUAGAAGUACAGUAUGACUGAAAUGUGAGUGAGUUCAUUGGGCCAGUUUGGGCCAAUUGAGAUUGCUGACUGCACUCAAUCUCUGUUUCCAUCUGGAGGACAGAAUGAGUUGACCCCUAGCAUCUCACAGGUACCACUGAAAUAGAGCAAGCUUCAGGAGAUGACUUGGCUUUGGGCAUCAUAUACUGCAGCCAUAUUCCCUGACAGCAUUUCUCCAGUCACUGGUUACAAAGGACUUCUCAACAGUUUUUGAAAGUCUGCUUUUCCAAGUUGUUUAUAAAUUAAAUGACUUUAAAUAUUUUUAAAAGCUAAACUAAGCAUAAAAAUGUUAAACACGAGAAAGUCUGCAGGUGCUGGAAAUCCAAAGCAACAGUCACAAAGUGCUGGAGGAACACAGCAUGUCAGGCAGCAUCUGUGGAAAUGAAUAAACAGUUGACGUUUCAGGCUGAGACCCUGCUUCAGGACUGAAAUGGAAGGGAGAAGAAGCUAGAAUAAAAAUCUUGGGGAAAGGGAAGGAAGCUGUCUAGAAGGUGUUAGGUGAAACCAAGUGGAUGGGAAAAAAAAGGGCUGGAGAAGAAAGAUCUGAUUGGAGAGGAGAAUGGACCAUAGGAGAAAGGGAAGAAAGAGGGGACGCAGGGGAAAAAGGUGGGCAAGUAGAAGAGUUAAGAGGCCAGGGGAAUAGGACAGGGGAGGGGCAGGGAUUUUUUUUACCAGAGGCUGAAAUUGAUAUUCACGCCAUCAGGUUGGAGACCACCCAGCCGGAAUUUAAAGUGUUGCUUCUUCACCCUGAGAAUGGCCUCCUCUUGUGCCUAGAUGAGGCCAUGAACUGACAUGUCAGAAAGGGAAAGGGAAUCAGUAUUAAAAUGUUUGGCAACCAGGAAGUUAUAGGUGCUCAACAAAGUGGUCCCCCAAAUUACGUAGGGUCUUGCCAAUGUAGAGGAGUCUGCAUCAGAAGCGCCAGACACAACAGACAACCCCAGCAGAUUCACAGGUGUGGUGUUGCCUCACCUGGAAAUACUGUUUGGAGCCCUAAAUGGAGAUAAAGGAGGAGGUGAAUGGGCAGGUGGAGCAUUUAGGCCACUUGCAGAGAUAAUUGCUGGGAAGGAUAUUAGUGAAGAGGGACGUAUGGACAAGGGAAUCACAGAAGGAGAGAUCCCUGUGGAAAGUGUGUGGAGGGUAGGGGGAAGGAAGGAGUAAAGAUAUGUUUAGUGGUAGGAUCCCUUUGCCCUUGCUCCUGUGCUAAAUACCCAGUGCAUUAACAGGUAUUCAUUACAUACAGCUUCUGUACUACAAUUCCACUGACGUCAGUCGAACAUUGGAAGUUACAAGGAUUCUCUGUCCACUGAUAUAGCCUGAAUUACUAAAUAUUUCCAGAAUUUAACAUAUGCUUUGGAUGCCAGUAUUAGAAAUUAAUAUGUGAAGCUACUAUCUCUCUAAUUCUUAAAAAAGAUAAAGAUCCUACUUUAUGUGCAUCUUAUCGCCCUAUAUCAUUAUUAAAUGUAGAUUCUAAGAUUUUUACAAAAAUUUUAGCCAUUAGAUUAGAAAAGGUAAUAUCACAGAUUAUUUCAGAAGACCAAACUGGUUUCAUUAGGAAUCGGUAUUCCUUUUUUAAUGUUAGAAAAUUGAUUAAUAUAAUUUAUACUUCAUCACCCACAACCCCAGAAUGUGUUAUUUCAUUAAAUGCUGAAAAAGCUUUUGAUAGAGUUGAAUGGACAUACUUAUUUAAUGCAUUGAGAAAUUUUAAUUUUAGUCCUAACUUUAUAUCAUGGAUUAAAUUAAUAUAUUUUAAACCUGUUGCUUCUGUUCUUACAAAUAAUUAUAGAUCCUCUUUUUUUCAAUUAUCUCGUGGUACGAGACAAGGUUGUCCCUUAAGUCCUUUAUUAUUUAAUAUCGCAUUAGAACCUUUAGCCAUUGCUAUUCGUGAAUCUCCUAAUAUUUUUGGUAUUACCCGUAAUGAGAAGUUAUACGUUAUCACUUUAUGCUGAUGACUUGCUGUUAUAUAUUUCUGAUCAUGACAGGUCUAUUCCCGCUAUUUUAUCCUUGUUGGCUCAAUUUGGUAGU